rnacentral:tRNA from 1 species
UCCUCGAUAGCUCAAUCGGUAGAGCAACCGGCUGUUAACCGGUAGGUUACAGGUUCGAGCCCUGUUCGAGGAG